UGACUGGGGCGGUCUCCUCCUAAAGAGUAACGGAGGAGCACGAAGGUUGGCUAAUCCUGGUCGGACAUCAGGAGGUUAGUGCAAUGGCAUAAGCCAGCUUGACUGCGAGCGUGACGGCGCGAGCAGGUGCGAAAGCAGGUCAUAGUGAUCCGGUGGUUCUGAAUGGAAGGGCCAUCGCUCAACGGAUAAAAGGUACUCCGGGGAUAACAGGCUGAUACCGCCCAAGAGUUCAUAUCGACGGCGGUGUUUGGCACCUCGAUGUCGGCUCAUCACAUCCUGGGGCUGAAGUAGGUCCCAAGGGUAUGGCUGUUCGCCAUUUAAAGUGGUACGCGAGCUGGGUUUAGAACGUCGUGAGACAGUUCGGUCCCUAUCUGCCGUGGGCGCUGGAGAACUGAGGGGGGCUGCUCCUAGUACGAGAGGACCGGAGUGGACGCAUCACUGGUGUUCGGGUUGUCAUGCCAAUGGCACUGCCCGGUAGCUAAAUGCGGAAGAGAUAAGUGCUGAAAGCAUCUAAGCACGAAACUUGCCCCGAGAUGAGUUCUCCCUGACUCCUUGAGAGUCCUGAAGGAACGUUGAAGACGACGACGUUGAUAGGCCGGGUGUGUAAGCGCAGCGAUGCGUUGAGCUAACCGGUACUAAUGAACCGUGAGGCUUAACCUUACAACGCCGAAGGUGUUUUG
rnacentral:rRNA from 1 species